rnacentral:rRNA from 1 species
AACGAACGCUGGCGGCAUGCCUAACACAUGCAAGUCGAACGAAGCCUUCGGGCUUAGUGGCGCACGGGUGCGUAACACGUGGGAAUCUGCCCUUCGGUUCGGAAUAACAGUUAGAAAUGACUGCUAAUACCGGAUGAUGACGUAAGUCCAAAGAUUUAUCGCCGAAGGAUGAGCCCGCGUAGGAUUAGGUAGUUGGUAGGGUAAUGGCCUACCAAGCCGACGAUCCUUAGCUGGUCUGAGAGGAUGAUCAGCCACACUGGGACUGAGACACGGCCCAGACUCCUACGGGAGGCAGCAGUGGGGAAUAUUGGACAAUGGGCGAAAGCCUGAUCCAGCAAUGCCGCGUGAGUGAUGAAGGCCUUAGGGUUGUAAAGCUCUUUUACCAGGGAUGAUAAUGACAGUACCUGGAGAAUAAGCUCCGGCUAACUCCGUGCCAGCAGCCGCGGUAAUGUACAGUGU